UUUUCAUUUUUUUUGUUCUAAAAUGUGCCCACCUAAUUUCGCCUUCCAAUUUGUUUAAUUAUGGAUUUUAUUCAACAUGUUUUUUAUUUUAGCUUUUUAUAUCAAACUUUUAUUACUUUAACUAAUUCUUCUAGUUUUAUUUUAGAUUUUUUUUAAAUCAAAUUUUCUUAGUCUGCCGAUGCUUGUCAAUCAUCAUUUAUUUAUUUUGUUAAUUUGCUUGAAAAUACAAACACAUGAACGAUGAACUUCAUCAAAUAAGAGAGAGAGAGAGAGAGAGAGAGAGAGAGAGAGAGAGAGAGAUGAUGAUGAAACACUCAUAGUGGGUACCCCACAACUAAAUUUAAAAAGAAAUUUUAAAGCAACUUUAAUGGUAUGACAUUGUUGAAAUUGGUUAAGAUUCUUUCUUUUUACCUUCUUCAAUGGAAAAUUUUAGAGUUUGACAAUUGCAAAUUUGAAAUUAAAGCAAAAUUUUUAGAGUGUCCCAUUAUUAUAAAAUUUGUGAACCGCAUGUCAUUUAUUGAAUCAAUUAUUAUUACUAGUUGGUAAAAAAUAAUUCAAAUGUAAAUCUAUCAUAUUUAAAGUUAGAAAUUGCCAUUUUUUAGUAUUUGUGAUUGAAAAGUAAAGGCUAAAAUUUUACACUUAUAUUGAAAUUUGUUGCCGGAGAACUUAUGCCAUUAUUAAAUUUAAAAAAUGGCAAUACUAUUAAUGUCAAAAUGAUAUUUAUCGUUAUUGAUACUUUUAAAAAUGAGGUUUUGCUUUUGGAACAGGCCAGCUUUCGCUUUACCAUGGUCCAUAGUCAAUAAAAUACAGGGGCUAGAAGCUAAUUAAAUAAUUAAAUGCGAGAAGAAAAUAAAUUAGAGAGACAAGAGGGCAUGUUUGAUAUCUUGUAUUAGGGUAUAUUAGGGAAAAGGCACUGUAUUGUUAAAUUCAAUACUGUCUUUGGUGGUGGAACUGGAAGGGCAUUGCAUUAUCUAACACUCCUCUGUAUUUUUUAAUCCGGCUCACGGUGUAUUAUUAAUACACCUGAUUUUCAUUUUCAUUGUAUUACGUAAUAUGAUCGAACCUUAACGCGAAAAACUAAUCGGAAAAAGAACACCUGCUCACACAAAGAAAAGCCAGAGAACUCCAACAAAAUCGUCCGCUCUGCAGAGCAAUGGUCAAAUAUGUUUUCCAAAAAGCUUCUCUUCAAUCCAUCUGCUUUACCAUUCGUGUCCAACCCUUUCUCAAAGAAGCAUCAAUCAUCUCUUCUCAUCUGCACAGGAAUGUGUGAUGAGAUACCUCAAAGGCAAGGCUAUUGUACUCGUAACACAUCAAGUCAACUUCUUGUAUAGUGUUAUGUUGAUCUUAUUAUGGUAAUGAGAUUGGAUGAUAAUACAAUUAGAAAAGUAUGAUGAGCUUCUAGGUUCUGGCUUGGAUUUCGGAGCACUAGUUGCUGCCCACGAAACCUCCAUGGAUCAAUAAACCCAUAAAAAGGAAAAGUAAAUUCUCCAUAACCAACUAGAUUUGUAUCAUCUUCCAGCCAUGGGGAAGCCAAUGGUGAAAACAACUCUGCGGACCAACUCAAGUCUGUGAAGGGGAUGCAAAGCUCAUUAAAGAGGAAGAGAAGAAAACUGGCAGAGUGAGCUUGAAUGUGCAUGAACGAUAUUUCACCAAGGCUUGUGGCUGGUGUGGUGUAACUUAUAUGCAUAUGCUUGUAGAUAUAUCCAAAUAUAUAGUGCCACUCUUUAUCUGGCCUAUUUUCCCAUUCGCACAAUUAAACUAUUAAACAUGCUGUUAAGUGUAUCUUAUUUGAUCAUAUCAUGAAAUCUUAAUAUUAUUAUC